rnacentral:rRNA from 1 species
CCUACGGGAGGCAGCAGUCGGGAAUAUUGCGCAAUGGAGGAAACUCUGACGCAGUGACGCCGCGUAUAGGAAGAAGGUUUUCGGAUUGUAAACUAUUGUCGUUAGGGAAGAAAAAGACAGUACCUAAGGAGGAAGCCCCGGCUAACUAUGUGCCAGCAGCCGCGGUAAUACAUAGGGGGCAAGCGUUAUCCGGAAUUAUUGGGUGUAAAGGGUGCGUAGACGGGUGAGCAAGUUAGUUGUGAAAUCCCUCGGCUUAACCGAGGACGUGCAACUAAAACUACUUAUCUUGAGUAUGGGAGAGGAAAGUGGAAUUCCUAGUGUAGCGGUGAAAUGCGUAGAUAUUAGGAGGAACACCAGUGGCGAAGGCGACUUUCUGGACCAAAACUGACGUUGAUGCACGAAAGUGUGGGGAGCAAACAGGAUUAGAUACCCCAGUAGU